rnacentral:lncRNA from 1 species
CAAAAUGCAAGCAAUUUUUAGCGUAUAGAGUUCUGAGUUCAUGUUUAGAUGAGUGAAGCUUAGCACAGAAUCACUAUCCAUUUUUUGAACGUCAUACCGGUAAGAAGUUCUCCUGCCGGUUACUUCCCUUGUUCCUAUAAGCUAUGCUAAAGAAUCGAAAUAUGCUGCUUGCACCAACUUAUCCUAGAUCCUGCUGGAGAAAUUGUCCCCUAAAUCACAAUGCAAAAUCCAAAACCUACUAAGGAAUCGAAUCUAUACUUGAUUGUAGAAAAUACUCUUCCUUCUUCAGUAAUUCGCCCAUAUUUUCCCAAUCCAAAAAUCCAACGGCCGCAGUUACAAGAAAACCCUAGCAAUUUGGGGCCGGAGAGUAAGAGAGAGCGUACCAGUUUGCUGAGGCGCCGGCGAAUAGCCGUAGAUGGCUUGGAGUCUGGCGAGAGGUAUCAAAACAGAGAGAAGGAGGUUUGAGAAUGGCGUGAGCAAGCUUGCUCUGCAGCCAUGGAUAAGCUUCUUAUUUAUACUCAGUUCAACGGUAAAAAAAACGAUGACACUGUUUAACCAAAACGGUAACUAAACAGUAGAAAGGAUAAGCGUAAACGCAGCGUUUCAACUUAACGAUUUACAUAGCAAACUUAACGGAAUAGUCUCUAAUCAACACCGUUAGUGAAGUCUUCCUUCCUUCCGUUAACGUCCAAAGCUCCAGCUGAAUGACCAGCUUCAUCAGCAGCUGCUACUGCCUUCUUCAUUUCAUCCUUCAUAUUCAAUAUGCCCCCCACAAGUUGAGGAGUAUAUGUCAAUUACUCCCAACUUGCCAAUCAAGAACCUUAGUCGAACACGAUGCAUUCCUUUUGUGAACAAGUCAGCUGGUUGAAACUCAGUUCCAACAUGAAACAACUUCAGCAAUCCACACUUCACACGAUCUCUGACAACGUGACACUCAAUUUCAAUAUGUUUGGUCCUUUCAUGAAAAAUGGGAUUUUCUGCAAUGUGUAUAUCAGAUCGAUUGUCACAGUAGAUUGCUACUGGAGUUGAGAUAAACACUCUCAAUUCUGACAGCAGUAACUUCAACCAAUCAACUUCACAUGAUAAAUGAGCAAGAGCUCUGUACUCAGCCUCUGAAGAGGAUCUAGACACAGUGCUCUGCUUCUUGGAUUUCCACGUGAGGAUCGCAUUUCCCAAAAACGUGCAGUAUCCAGUGACAGAACGUCGAGUGUCUGGACAUGAAGCCCAGUCUGAGUCACUGUAACUAGAAAGCACCAAUUCAUUACGAGCUGAGUAAAACAAACCUUGAGCUGGUGCCAACUUGAGGUAUCUCAAUACCCUAUAAGCUGCCUGGAGGUGCACGUCAGUGGGUUGUGCUUGGUAUUGGCUCAGCUGUUGUACAGGGAAAGUUAUAUCUGGUCGUGUGAUAGUCAGAUAAUGCAGCCUCCCUAUCAGCCUUCUAUACACUUCUGGUUCUGAUAGGGGAACUCCUUGCUUAGCUGAAAGUUUAGAGCUAAAAUCCAUGGGGGUGUGUGAUGGUUUGGCCUCAAGGUAUCCUGAGUCCUUCAACAACUCAAAACAGUACUUCCUUUGUGAAACUGUAAUUCCUUUAUCAGAACGAGCUACUUCUAGACCAAGGAAAUAUUUCAAAUCUCCCAAGUCCUUGAUCUUGAACUGCAUUCGAAGGAAUGAUUUCACCCUCUCCAACUCCUUCACAUCAUCUCCUGCAAGAAUGAUGUCGUCUACAUAGACCAAAAGGGAUGUGGUACUGCUCUCAGUGGUACUGCUCUCAGUGUGCUUAAGUGGUACUGCUCUCAGUGUGCUUAAGAAAGAGGGAAUGAUCCGAAGCAGACUGAGUAAAGCCAUUCUGAAGCAAGGCAGCAGUUAAUUUAGCAAACCACUGUCUGCUUGCUUGCUUGAGUCCAUACAAGGACUUUCUAAGCUUGCAAACAGAUCCAGGUGGUGCCUCCAAUCCUAAUGGAAUCUCCAUAUACACAUCCUCCUCCAAAUCCCCGUGCAAAAAGGCAUUGGAUACAUCCAUCUAAUGUAAUUCCCAGUUCCUUACAGCUGCUACUGCAAGCAACGUCUUUACAGUGUUUAUUUUGGCCACGGGUGAAAAGGUGUCCAGAAAAUCGAUCCCAUAUGUCUGAGUGUAACCCUUUGCUACAAGUCUUGCCUUGUAACGCUCCACUGCCCCAUCUGGUUUGUAUUUUAUCUUGAAUACUUACUUACUGCCAACGACCUUCUGUCCAAAAGGCUUAGGAACAAUGUCCCAGGUUUGAUUUUCUUGCAAGGCUCCCAACUCCUCCUUUGUAGCCAGGUCCCAGCAUGGUUCCUUGACAGCUUCAUAGUAUGUGUCAGGUUCUCUUUGAGUGAUGAUAUUUAGGGCAAAAGCUCUAUAUGCAGGAGAAAGAUUGUCAUAGGUAAUGUGUUUGGAAAUAGGGUGUUUGGCAUAAUGAGAUACAGAAGCUGUAUUAAGGUGAAAAUCAUGGAGGUAGGUUGGUAGGGUCUUUAUUCGAUUAGAACGUCUAGGUAUUGGUUCAGGUUCAGGAGAAGGAUCAGGUUCUAAUUCUAAAUCAGAGUCAGCUGGUUCUGGGUCAAAGGACAAGUCUGGAGAUGUGUUGGUAUCUGAGGUAGGUUGUGGUGAGGAUUGUUGAGGUUGUGGAGAUGUGUCGUUUGGAGGAAGAGGUGACUUUGGUGUGAAAUGGGAUGGAUGUGUGAGUGGGGUUAAAGAGGGAUCUGGUGGAUGAUGAUGUGUGGAUUGGCCCCCCUCAAACGCUGCAGGAGGAAUCUCAGCAGAGUUUGAAGGUGUGGAAUGAAAAGGCAGAAUAGUUUCAUGGAACCUGACUUCUCUAGAGACAAAGAAAUGAUGGGAAUGGAGAUCAUAGAGCUUAUAACCCUUGAUGCCAACUUGGUAACCAAGGAACACACACUGUCUAGCCCUGGACUGGAACUUAGUUCUGUUAUGAGACAAGGUUGCUGAAUAAGCAAGACACCCAAAUACUCGCAAAUGGUCAAGGCUGGGAGCAGUGCCAUGGAUCAGUUCAUAGGGGGCUUUGUCAUUGAUAGUUGUACUGGGCAGCCUAUUUAGUAAAUGAACUGCGUGAACCACAAAGUCACUCCAAAAGAAUAAUGGAAGACCAGAUUGGAACUUCAGUGCCCGUGCAACAUUCAAUAUGUCCUGAUGUUUUCUCUCAACUCGAGCAUUCUGCUCUGGAGUUGCAACACAACUCAUUUCAUGCAAAAUACCAUGCUCAGCAUAGUAAUCCACCAUGUGGAAUUCAGCCCCCUGAUCACUACGAAUAGUACGUACUGGAAACUCAAACUGAUUUCUCACGUACUGGCAGAAAUCUACCAAUUUAUUUCUCGCCUCAGACUUAUGUUUCAGCAAGUAUAUCCAAGUUCCACGAGAGAAAUCAUCCACCACAGUAAGAAAGUAUGAAAAACCAUCAUGUGAUUUAACAGAUAAAGGACCCCAAAUGUCAACAUGAAUAAGUUCAAAAACCCUACUAGCUCGUUUCUCACUGCGAACAAAAGGAAGUCUCUUGUGUUUGGCAAAAUGACAAGUCUCACAAUGCUUUAUUGUUUCAUGAACAGAACCAGUAUUACAUGAAUCUAAAGACUUAAUGCGAGAGGUGCUAGGAUGACCAAGACGCCAGUGCCACAAUUUGAUAGGUUGAGACUGGAAAUUGUAGGUGGAUGCCACAGUAGGGGUAGGAGAAGGGACUUGAGAAGGAAGAAGCUGGUAUAGACCUCGAAUUUGAUUAGCCAAACCAAGAGUUGUCAUGGAAGUAUGGUCCUGAAUGGAACAAGAUUCAGAACGAAAAAUCAAGGAAAUGUUGUGGUCACUGGUCAACUUACUGACAGAGAUCAGGUUAAAAGCAAAGCUAGGCACACAUAGAACAUGGGAAAGAAUGAGAUUAGAAGAUAGGCGAACUGUGCCUACAUGGCUAACAGGGACUUUUGUGGAAUUUGGCAAGUAAGCAAACACGUUUGUUACAGCAUGAGACUCAAUGAAAUGCAGCAAGGAACAAGCAAUGUGGUCUGAUGCUCCAGUAUCCACAAUCCAAUAAUUAUCGUCAUGUGGUUUGGAGACAGAAUUUAGAGCAUAUGUACCUGCAUAGUGAGAUGGUUCAGGCUGAUGUUGGGAUACUGCAAAUGCACGAUGAGGAUUCCCAGAGGAUGAAUUUCCUCCACUGGACUGCAAUAGCAAUUUCAGUUGCGGCAUCUCAGCACUAGUGAAGCCCAAACCUGCCUCAACUACACUGGAAUCCCUUGAGGAUGAACCAUUUGACUCAACCUCUUCAGUUUGAGAUGCAGAACCUGCAAAGGGACCCCCAGGACCAGGUUUAGUAGGAAACCUGCCCUCUGCAGCUUCUUUCUUCUUCUUAGCCUUGAGUUUGAAAUAGUCCUCAAUGAGAUGGUUAUCUUUCUUGCAAUAUCUGCAAAACUUCUUCCCACCAUCAUUUGGAACUGCAAAAGCCACAACAUUAGCUUCAUCCUUCUUCACACCAAGAUGGCCCUUCAAUUUUUCUUCAUGUUGCAGUGCAUUGUUGUAGGCAUCAAUGACACUGGGCAACGGGCGCAUCAUCAGUAGCUGAGUUUUCAAAACUUCAUAUUCAUCAUUGAGUCCUCUCAGGAAUCUGAUCAAAUAGUCUGUCUCUUGUUUUGUUUGGAAUGCCACAACUGCUGGACAAGGCAGAGGGUUUCCAGGUGCACAAGAGCAUGGAACUAUGGGUGAAAACUGAGAGUAUUCCUCCCACAGUCCUUUGAUUGCAGUAUAGUGUUGAGAAACACUAGGCGUUCCCUGUUUACACGCGUGAAUCUCAUCCUGCAAAUUAGCCAGACGUAUGGCAUUUCCAAUUCCAAAACGAACUUUGAGUUCAUCCCACAGAUUCUUAGCUACUUCAUGAUUCAUAACGCUUCUCUUAAUCUCAGAAUCCAGCGUGUUAAGGAUCCAGCACAGAACAAGAGUAUUACAAGCAUCCCAAGAUAUGAACCUAUCAUCAUUUGCAUCAGGUAUAUCAAUGGUACCAUCAACGAAACCCAGUUUGUGCUUUGUUUUGAGUGCAAAACGUAAAGAUCGAUGCCAGAUCUGAUAAUUUGUCCCGUCGAGCACGACAUUUGAGAUGGAUUGAGAUAGAUUUUCAUUUGGAUUCAGGUAUAGUGGGUUACCAAACUGGAUCGGAGGUGGAUUUCUGCUGACGUUGAUGUUAUCAUCAACUUCUUCUUCAUCUUCAUUAGUGAAGUUCCCGAAGGUAACUCCUGCUGAUCCUCGUCCUCUACCCCCAGAUCCUAUCGAGGGUGAGGUGAGAUCGACCAUUGUUAGUAAAUAGCGGAUGUACGCUCUGAUACCAUAUCAAAACAUAGAGAAGGAGGUUUGAGAAUGGCGUGAGCAAGCUUGCUCUGCAGCCAUGGAUAAGCUUCUUAUUUAUACUCAGUUCAACGGUAAAAAAAAUGAUUACACUGUUUAACCAAAACGGUAACUAAACAGUAGAAAGUAUAAGCGUAAACGCAGCGUUUCAACUUAACGAUUUACAUAGCAAACUUAACGGACUAGUCUCUAAUCAACGCCGUUAGUGAAGUCUUCCUUCCUUCCGUUAACGUCCAAAGCUCCAGCUGAAUGACCAACUUCAUCAGCAGCUGCUACUGCCUUCUUCAUUUCAUCCUUCAUAUUCAAUAAGAGGGAUCGCGGAAGUGCCGGCAGAGGCUUCAUCGAAGAGUUGCUGCUUCCAGUCCCACAUCGAUUUCUUCAUGGAUUUGUUGGAAUUGACCAAUGACUCUUUUCUCCGCCUCCAGAGCUUCGAUGUUCUUCUGCUGGCUCAUUGACCGCACGCCGAGCGCCGCGAAGGCUCCAACCAGGAAGACGUUUAUCAUCGUAUUAUUGUCGGUGGCUUUCAUCGCCGCCGAUAGCAGUCUGUUCACCGAUUCCAUUUUCUUCCGCUUAGGGGUUACCGACGGGCUAUUGACCUUAAGAGGUCGUUUGUGCGGGUGAAGUUGUAGGAAGAAAAUUCAAAUAGCUAAAGAAUUUAAAUAGCUAGAGAAUAUGAGGGUCAUGCUAUUUCAAGAAAUAGAAUGUUUGGUCGUGUCAUUUUAAGUGAUUGUUGGGACUAGAGAAUUCAAAAAUUAAAUGAAAUGGAAUGAAUUCUCCCAAAAUUCCCUUCAUAACCUAGUAAUUUGAAUAUGAGCUCAAAAUCUCUUGGGUCCCACAUCAAGAAUUCAAAUCAUUCUCUCAUAAUUAAUUGUGAUCCAAACAAUCUAUUGACAAAAUCUCUAACUUAGAGAUUUUAGAGACCAAAUCACCCAAAAUCACUCAAAACAAUCAUUUGCACAAACAACCACUAAUAGUCCACCGACGUUUAACUUUUUUUUUAAAUGGCACUUGAAUUAAGAAAUUCGAUUUUUUAAUUCGAGUUGAAAUUCCG